UAAUCAUGUUCUUUAAUAAUUACUGACAUUUGUAUUUUAAGCUGUAUACCAACGUUCGUAUUUGACAUUGAUUUUCUAACCAUUAGAGACAUUUAAUUAAAACUUGGAAAUGAAAGAAACAAAAUGAAAUUUGGUUUCUUUUGGUUUGAAUCCUAAUUUUUUUUUUUUCAGUCCUUAGGGUACUAGAUUAGGCCAACCUUUGUUUCACCACCUUUAUCUGACCGUGGAAGAUUUUAGGCUGUUCAAGAGUCCACCCAAAAGAGAAGUAUGCUGCUCUGCAAAGGUUUGGUGGCUGUUGCCCAGGAAAUCCUCAUUUAGUGUUGACCGUGUGUGUGGAGACCUGAAAAGAAGUGAAGGCUUUUGUUGUGAGGGUCUCCACACACUCAGGGCCAAAGCCUGCCAGAAUUUCAUACUAUUUAACUUGAGACAUUAAAACCAACUUGGCACAUUACCCCCUCGCCCCGGAAGAGAGAAGUGGGCAGAAGUGGAAGGGUGCGGUGGCUCAUGCCAUCAUGCCCAGCCAACCCUCCUUUUCAGCAAGAUCAAAUUGAUGCCCAGAUGUUGAAAAACACCCACGACACAGCGGUAGGGCCAGGAUUUGAACCAAGUCCAAAGUCCCGAUACUGGGCUUUCAGGAAGGGAGAAUUAUGUACAGUUUUUUGCACAAUUUUGGCCUGGAAUGGGUGGGGCUGGGAGGAGAGGUUGGUGGUACUGAAAGGAAGCUAGAAGGCUUUUGGGGGGUUAGCCCGGGCAACAUAGUGAGACCCCCCACCAUCUCUACAAAAAUAAAAAUAAAAAUUAGCCAGGCAAGGUGGUGUGUUCCUGUAGUCCCAGCUACUUGGGGGGCUGAGAUGGGAGGGUUGCUUGAGCCCAGGA
rnacentral:lncRNA from 1 species